rnacentral:rRNA from 1 species
GACGGAGGGUGCGAGCGUUGUCCGGAAUCACUGGGCGUAAAGGGCGCGUAGGCGGUCUGCUAAGCGUGUGGUGAAAGCUCGGGGCUCAACCCCGAGUCUGCCAUGCGAACUGGUGGACUUGAGCACUGUAGAGGCAGGUGGAAUUCCGGGUGUAGCGGUGGAAUGCGUAGAGAUCCGGAAGAACACCAGUGGCGAAGGCGGCCUGCUGGGCAGUUGCUGACGCUGAGGCGCGACAGCGUGGGGAGCAAACAGG